ensembl:lncRNA
AGGAGAGCAGUAAGAAAGGAUAUACGAUGACACUGUGAUGCAAAGUGUCAUGGGAAAAUAUCAGAAGCAGUAAUUGUUGUGAUACCAUUGUACUCAAAUAUCAUUACUUCAUUUAUGUUUCUUUUGAUCACAGACUUUAGCAUAUGCCAACAUUAGAAGAGAUGCCUUGUUUGAGACUGCACUUUAAAGCAAGAGGGAAAAUGAGUUUUGAACCACUGCCUUGCCUCUGGGACUAGCUGUUGCUACAGUACUGUACUGCACGUCUUGCCUGCUGAUUGUUGUAAUAGUAAUUCUGAGUCAACUACUCAGACUCCAGCGGGAUUGCUCUACACAGAUGUGUGUGAUUUACACUGAGUGCCUGGCUCAGCUCCAGAGGAGUCCAGGCAUGUGAGAACUGAAAGGAGCUCAGAUUAUGCCAUUUGCCAUGUUCAGCAUCCAGCUGUGUCUGCAAAAGAGCAAAUCAUCACUAACUGCAGGAGUCAGACUCUGUGAGGUAUCUAGUCACAAAAAUGGGAGUGUAAAAAGAAGUGGAAAUGAAAGGAACAAGAUGAAAUGAGAGAAAAAGGAGAGGAAAUGAGUGGAGCAAGAGCAAGAGAUGCAGAACUGCUUCUACUUACAGCAUGGCAAGAGAAUGCUGCUUUAAGGAACUCAUGAGAUUAUGGCCUGUGGUUCAAACCUUUAAUUUAAGAUUCCAGCUUUUUCAGCUUUAACCAUGUUUUAGCACAAUAACGUCUGUCUUAUAAAUGAUGUAACUGGCAAUUACAACUGCUGUGGUUUCAGUGGUGGUUUCAGUUCAUGCUUCUUUGUAAUUCAUGUGGUUUCAGGACAUGCUUCUGAAGGCUACAGAAAUUACUUCUGUGAAUUAUUAAUUAGGAAAAUAAUCUCAUAUUUUGUAAACUCUUAUAGUAUGUAAGAAAUAGGUCAACGUAAGGUGAUGAAUGUGUAGAGCUUUUUUCUCCUGUAGUGACUAUUAAUGCUUUAGUGACCACUAUUAGUUUACAGAGAUCAUCAAGCUUUCAGACAGUUGAAAAGUAUUUCAAAAUAUUUUGUGCAGUUGUGUGCUCACCGGAAAGAAUAAUUACUUUUGAAUUCGUUUAUCAUGUCAGUUUAUUUAUACCUUUAGACUAGGUAGGAAAACUGCUUGAGGGGUCUGAAAAAUGCUAGAUAUUGUCCCCAGGAUGGUGUACAAUGGAUUGAAACUGUUCCUUUUCAACUAGAAGGCCAUUUUUCCCUUGAUGCUUUACCAUCUGUAUCUGUGUGCUCACAGCUUUGUAUAUAGCAUUUUCAGCAGUGCUAUCUAUCUACCAUGAUAUCUAUCCAUGAUACAAACUGGUAGUAUCUAUCAUUUCUGUUAUCUUAUCAUGCUGUGGAUAAAAUUAGCUAUAUAUUUCAGAAAGUUCACACCAGGUCUUGCAGACCACACAGAUAUCUGCAAAGUAGUAUGACAGAAUGGAACAGCAGCUGGGUGAGAUGCUGGUAUGAACAAUACCAGUCAGAUCAUUUUUAUGAAGGCAAUUGCAACUUUCUGGGAAAAAAAAAAGUAAAAAAAAAG